ensembl:lncRNA
AUGGCUACAUCUGAAACUAAUAAAUAUAUGUACAAUAUAUAAUAGUAUAUGCAUUUCUGGAUGUGUAUACUAAAUAUUUUUCUACGUGUGUGUGUGUGUGUGUGUGUGUACACAUAUUUUACAAAUUAAAUAGAGUAAACAAUAAAUAAAAUAUAUAAAAUAAAAUAUACAGAGUGAGACAUGUGCAAAACAGUGGCGUUACUGUACAGUAUGGAGUGCAUAAUGUUAAAGUUCCAGUAGUGAAGCUGAGGUGUCUAUGAAGUGUUCAGCAGUCUGAUGGCCUGAUGGAAAAAGCUGUCUCUCAGUCUGCUGGUACGGGACCGGAUGCUGCAGAACCUCCUUCCUGAUGGAAGUAGUCUGAACAGUUUAUGGCUGGGGUGACUGGAGUCCUUGAUGAUCAUAUCAGUGUAACAAUAAAAUCAGCCUAUUGGUUGUGGCAACUUGGGGGUUAUAUUCAAUCAAUCAAUCAGUCAAUCAAUCAAUCAAUCAUUCAAGGCUUUAUUCGCCACAUGCAGGUUACAGUGGAAUGGGACCCCCCACCCCUCCGACCUUACACACACAACACAGACAUCACAUGGGGAUACAGGUCGGAGAUCGGUAGCGUUACAGAAAAACACUGAAAUAUACACUACAAUGGGAAAGUACAAGAGGAAAAAAAAAGACCUCUACUCAUGCUGGGCUCCUAUGGGAGGACAGCAUGAGAACAGGAAACAAAGAAACUCCUCUGCACAAAAAGCACAUAAAUGUCCACAGCACAACAUUAUGGAACACGUGACAAGCCAUAUUGGUAUAUUGAGUUUGCAAAGUUUGCAAAGUACAGUAAUUCAGAGUUGAUGUAUGGUUGUUUCCUUUGGGUUUCUUCUUAGGCUGGCCAAAAUGCCACCUAGGAUGUAAAACCAUUGCAUGUCUAAGUAGUAGAACAUCUUCCUUUAUUCCCAAUUUAAAAAACAAAAAAACAAAAACAGCCCAUAAAGCAUAAAACUAGUUCUUGUCAUUUAAAAAAAAAUUUCAACAAAUGUAAGACUUACAAAAAAAAAUCCCACAGUGAACAACAACUUGAAUGUUCAUCCCAGCAUUCCCUUUUUCCUGACACUUGAUUGAUGAGCAGCACCCUGUCAAUCCAGUUCCUGCUAAAGACGCCUUUUCCCCAGCUGAUGGCUGAGGAUGAUUAGAGAACAAGCCACCAAUGGGAACCCCAGUAGCAGCCCUCCAGGUGUCUUAGGCCUUGCCUUCUUCCUUCGAUUUUGACUUGUGGGGUGAAUCUUUGUAACCCAUACAAAAUAAGUGGUCAACACUGUUGCCAGCAUUCAUGCUUGCGAGUAGUGCAUUAUGUGUUAAUUAUCGUGUGGUUAUCUCACAGUGUUUUGUAUGUGGUGGAAGCCACAAUAACAACAUAGAUAUGCUAGUAAUUUUUCCCCCCUCCUGCGCCCCUACUUGUUGUUGAGUGGUUGUUAUUUUGUGUUCACUUUGGGCUUCAAAGAACUAAAAGGCCUUGAUAAAGCCCUCAUUAUACACUGUUGUUGGACACAGAUGGCUGACAACAUGACAGCAGGAGAGUCAUUCCUGUGACACCUCUUUGAAAUCCACCACUUGAGGCACAUGUGCAGUUAGGGUUGCCAACUCCCUGAAAAAUAAAUAAGGGACACCUCGUGGCCAGGGCCGGGCGACCCAGUUGUCUUCACCCUUCCCAGUGUGGUGAAUUUUCUAGCUCUUUUUUUGUGUGUGAAAUUAUUUUUUUAACCAUUUGACUUGAAGUUGAUUUAAGUAGAUGCAUAUUCUUUGUGAUAUGAACACAUGUGAAACAAAUGAUCAUUUAGCCAUUUAUUUU